CCUACGGGAGGCAGCAGUGGGGAAUUUUGGACAAUGGGGGCAACCCUGAUCCAGCAAUGCCGCGUGAGUGAAGAAGGCCUUCGGGUUGUAAAGCUCUUUUGUCAGGGAAGAAACAGCAGCUCUAACACAGUCUGCGAAUGACGGUACCUGAAGAAUAAGCACCGGCUAACUACGUGCCAGCAGCCGCGGUAAUACGUAGGGUGCGAGCGUUAAUCGGAAUUACUGGGCGUAAAGCGUGCGCAGGCGGUUAUACAAGACAGGCGUGAAAUCCCCGGGCUUAACCUGGGAAUGGCGUCUGUGACUGUAUAGCUAGAGUGUGUCAGAGGGGGGUGGAAUUCCACGUGUAGCAGUGAAAUGCGUAGAUAUGUGGAGGAACACCAAUGGCGAAGGCAGCCCCCUGGGAUAACACUGACGCUCAUGCACGAAAGCGUGGGGAGCAAACAGGAU
rnacentral:rRNA from 1 species